AUUGAACGCUGGCGGCAUGCCUUACACAUGCAAGUCGAACGGCAGCACGGGAGCAAUCCUGGUGGCGAGUGGCGAACGGGUGAGUAAUAUAUCGGAACGUGCCCAGUAGUGGGGGAUAACUGCUCGAAAGAGCAGCUAAUACCGCAUACGACCUGAGGGUGAAAGGGGGGGAUCGCAAGACCUCUCGCUAUUGGAGCGGCCGAUAUCAGAUUAGCUAGUUGGUGGGGUAAAGGCCUACCAAGGCAACGAUCUGUAGUUGGUCUGACAGGACGACCAGCCAUACUGGGACUGAGACACGGCCCAGACUCCUACGGGAGGCAGCAGUGGGGAAUUUUGGACAAUGGGCGCAAGCCUGAUCCAGCAAUGCCGCGUGCAGGAAGAAGGCCUUCGGGUUGUAAACUGCUUUUGUCAGGGAAGAAAUCCUCUAGGUUAAUACCCUUGGGGGGAUGACGGUACCUGAAGAAUAAGCACCGGCUAACUACGUGCCAGCCGCCGCGGUAAAAC
rnacentral:rRNA from 1 species